rnacentral:lncRNA from 1 species
UUAGAGGAAGACCACAUAUGAAUCUUAUACUAUAUAUCAACAAUACUAUUCGAACAACAAAUAUUAUGAAAAUGCCUGACAAAUACAUGUGAAAUGAAACUAUGAGCACUUGCACCCGAAACAUAUGAACUUGAUGAAUCUGAAAUAGACCAUAAUGUGGCAAUCGAUUAACUGUGUGUUUAAGGUCUUGCCGUGUACUUUUGAAGAUAAAGACAGAGGUAGUCAUCAAUACAAUCAAACACAUCCAAAUAGCCAGGGCUAGUGGCAUCCAACUAAAAGCCUGCAACUAUAAUGAUUCUCCCACUUGCUUCUAAAUUUGAUGGGACCAUGAAAUUUAACUUCAAUGUAUGGAUUUUCACCAUUCCCAUCCCAAAAUUUCUUCUCCAUAUUCAUGAACUUGGAGAACUCCUUAUAUAUAGUCAUGUAAGUUUACGGUCAAUCACAAUCUAGACUCUGGACCAUGCAUGGUACAAAUUAUCUCACCGCCACGGUCAGUUAUUUCUAGACCUGACAGUUUGGUACACGACACGAAAAUACGACAACAUGUAAAUAUCACGGUCAACUUUGGAAAGU